AUUACCGUGGAUCUCAAUCCAGCCUUGGUUGCAGUGUCACCUCCAAUCCGCAUCAGGUGGAUGGAUGGAAUUGAGGUAUGAAGGGAAUUCAUCUUGGAAAGCUUGUCCUAGCACAACUUUUCUUUUAUCUGAAAUGGGGACAAGACCACUGCCAUCUUACCAUUUCAUAGUGGUGAAAUUGCAAGCAGGCAGGAAAAAGUUUUGCUUGUUAUCCCAUGAAGUAAAAGACCCUAGAUAUUUGAUUUAGAUGUAAUAGUGUAGGUGUGGCCUCUUCGCUAUAUAACAACAAAUAAACACGUGUACUGUUCUUUGGAAAGGCAAAACUUGCUUUUGAAAAGUUUGUUUUGGCAAACAAAAUAUGGAUUGGUAGAGCACUAGCAUUAUUUUUUUCUUGAAUUAUUGAAGCUGAUUAAUAGUUUCCAGUAUUUAACUGUGACCCCGAAUCCUGAUACAUGCUAAUUGAUUAAGUACAAUCACACCCAAUCAUUUGUUGUAAAUUUUUCUCUGUCCUGAUUUUACUGCAUUUGCACUACCAUUUGUGUUCCAGCGAUAAGGUUUAAUCUGGCUCUUACUUUAUUUCCCUCAAUUAUGCAAUGUGAUACGUGGGCUAAAGCAUAGAAUCUGUAUGAUGAAGAAAGGGGAGAAAGCACUAUUCAUGCUCCCUCCUUUGGCUUGUGGAGAUUCUGGUGCUUCUGUUGUUCCUACUGGUUCUGAGCUACAUUGAGAUAGAGCUCUUAUCAUGGUUGAUAGUGGUGGAUAUUUAUAGAAAUGGUGGAAUUGUAAAGAGAAUCCUAUCAAUUGGAGGGAACAGACAAACCAGGGAUCUUGAUGAAGUUACGGGUGAACAGUUCAUGACAAAUCAUCAAACUUCUUAGCAUUUUUUAUAUUUGAAUACCAAUGUGCUUGGCUUCACCUGUAUACUCUAAUACUCUAAUCUUAUUCUUGUAUGACAAUUGUUCUCGCACUAAUACAGUCAAGUACAAAACCAAGCUAAUUGAUGAGACGACAGUUGAAGAAUCUCCAGAAGAAGGAUCAAUUUUCUUUGUGAACGAAGGACACGUCUGUGGAGCAUUGCCUAUGGUCCUAAAAACUAUGAAGUAAGGAGAGAGAGCUGCUGUGAUGGUGCAAUCACAAUGUAUGUCUCAUCUGUUAGAUGCGUAAAAUAAAUAUAUUAAGAGCUACUUUGUCGUGGUGUUACAUUGUCGUGGUAUUAUCUUGUAAAAAUAUUUCGCUCCUGUUACAACGCACGAACAUUUAACUAUAAAUAUAUAAAGAGCUGCCUUGUCGUUUCCUUA